AGAUGAGCCUGCGGCCUAUUAGCUAGUUGGCGGGGUAAAUGCCCACCAAGGCAACGAUAGGUAUCCGGCCUGAGAGGGUGAACGGACACAUUGGGACUGAGACACGGCCCAGACUCCUACGGGAGGCAGCAGUUAAGAAUCUUGGACAAUGGACGAAAGUCUGAUCCAGCGACGCCGCGUGAAUGAUGAAGGUUUUCGGAUUGUAAAGUUCAGUAAGCAGGGAAGAAUAAAUGACGGUACCCGCCUAAAGCAUCGGCUAAAUACGUGCCAGCAGCCGCGGUAAUACGUAUGAUGCAAGCGUUGUUCGGAAUUAUUGGGCGUAAAGGGCAUUCAGGCGGGAUAUUAAGUCGGGUGUGAAAUCUGGAGGCUCAACCUCCAAACUGCAUUCGAAACUGGUAUUCUUGAGUCAGGGAGAGGAAGGCGGAAUUCCCAGUGUAGCGGUGAAAUGCGUAGAUAUUGGGAAGAACACCGGUGGCGAAGGCGGCCUUCUGGCCUAUGACUGACGCUGAAGUGCGAAAGUGUGGGGAUCAAACGGGAUUAGAUACCCCGGUAGUCCACACCGUAAACAUUGCAUACUAGGUGUUAGAGAUUUAAUCUCUAGUGCCGUCGCUAACGCAGUGA
rnacentral:rRNA from 1 species